rnacentral:lncRNA from 1 species
UGAUUGACAGCUUUAUGUUUUUUAAUUCUGUGGGAAAAAACAAAAUCCUAGUUUCAGCAUGGUUUCUGUUGUUACAUUUGUUUCUUUUAUAAAGUAUUUUGACACCAGGUAAAACUGACACAUUAAAUAUCGAUACAAUCAUUUGAUAUUUACUUCCAUAAAAGCCUUCUAGAUCAUUCUGAAGUAGGCAAAACUAUCAAAUUAUCUAGCAUUUAGAACCUUCUUUCUUUCCCACCUGUGCCGGUUCACCAUUAUUCCCUGCAGUGGACUGAAAGUUUGUGUUUCCCCAAAUUCAUAUGUUGAAGUGCUAAUCCCCAAUGUGACAGUAUUUUGAGGUGGGUCUUUAAGAAAGUAAUUAGGUCAUGAUGGUAGACCCUUAUGCAUGGGAUUAGUACCCUUUAAAAAAAAGAUGCAAGAGAGAUAAUUUUGCCACCAUGUGAGGAUACAACAAGGUUUUCCUCUGCAAACCAGAAAGAGGGCCCUGCCCAGAAACUGAAUUAUCUGGCACCUUGAUUUUGUACUUCCCAGUCUUCAGAACUGUAGUGAAUAAAUGUUUGUUGUUUACUUCUACAGUACUUUUUGUUAUAACUGCCGAAACUAAGACAUCUCCCAAUUUUAGAAGCCCAUAGAUUAUUUUAGAUUCUCCUUUGACCAAAAACUCCUCUUUGAACAGCAUGCUAGGAACAUUUAGCUUAAUAAUACCAUAGAUAUUUAUUGAACACCUACUAUGUGAGAGUAGUGCCGGGAAAUACCUCUUGUAUUUGAAAACAACAUGGCUUAAAGUACAACAUUUUUUGUAACAAUUUGCACUUAAAUUGCUGCAUUUUAGGAACUCACACACCGUUUAAAAAACAUGCUUUAUGUGCAAGUACUACUAUGGUUAUUGAUUCAGAAAUCAUAUCAAUUGUGAGGCAGGGGAGUUUGAAAACCAAUCUAUGAAUGCACCUACGCAGCAUUAAGAUAAAUCCUGCAAGAUCAACCCAGUGUAUCAUCUCGACCAAGUUCACUUGCUGGUGGUGGGUGCUCAGAGUGUAUCUGAUGUCAUUAACAUCUUCAACCCCUAUCACCAUGACCACUACUGAAGUCUCUGCUUUCUGAAUUACUUAUUUCGAGAUCUCAGAUGUUUUUGCCUAUAAUAAAC